rnacentral:rRNA from 1 species
AUUGAACGCUGGCGGCAGGCUUAACACAUGCAAGUCGAGCGGGGUAAUGGUGCUUGCACUAUCACUUAGCGGCGGACGGGUGAGUAAUGCUUAGGAAUCUGCCUAUUAGUGGGGGACAACAUCUCGAAAGGGAUGCUAAUACCGCAUACGUCCUACGGGAGAAAGCAGGGGAUCACUUGUGACCUUGCGCUAAUAGAUGAGCCUAAGUCGGAUUAGCUAGUUGGUGGGGUAAAGGCCUACCAAGGCGACGAUCUGUAGCGGGUCUGAGAGGAUGAUCAGCAAGGCUGGGACUGAGACACGGCCCAGACUCCUACGGGAGGCAGCAGUGGGGAAUAUUGGACAAUGGGGGGAACCCUGAUCCAGCCAUGCCGCGUGUGUGAAGAAGGCCUUAUGGUUGUAAAGCACUUUAAGCGAGGAGGAGGCUCUUUUGGUUAAUACCCAAGAUGAGUGGACGUUACUCGCAGAAUAAGCACCGGCUAACUCUGUGCCAGCCGCCGCCGUAA